UGCGCGGAAGAUGUAACGGGGCUAAACCAUGCACCGAAGCUGCGGCAGCGACACUAUGUGUUGUUGGGUAGGGGAGCGUUCUGUAAGCCUGCGAAGGUGACCUGUGAGGGUUGCUGGAGGUAUCAGAAGUGCGAAUGCUGACAUAAGUAACGAUAAAGCGGGUGAAAAGCCCGCUCGCCGGAAGACCAAAGGGUUCCUGUCCAACGUUAAUCGGGGCAGGGUGAGUCGACCCCUAAGGCGAGGCCGAAAGGCGUAGUCGAUGGGAAACAGGUUAAUAUUCCUGUACU
rnacentral:rRNA from 1 species